AAGUUCUCAACCAUGGCCAGUUUCACUGGUCAUGGCUUGGACAGUGGGGGUUGCAGGCUUUGGAAUUGAAACAAAAUCGGCUCCCCUGAAAUGUAUUAGUGGUAUCUGAGCAGAGACUACUACAGGUGUGAUAAAUUAUCUAUGCCUUGGUAUGCACUGCAUGAACAGAGUAUGCUGCUUAUCUGAUGGGAUGUUUGACAA
rnacentral:misc_RNA from 1 species